AUACGGAGGGUGCGAGCGUUACUCGGAAUCACUGGGCGUAAAGCGCGCGCAGGCGGCUAUUUAAGUUGGAUGUGAAAGCCUAUGGCUCAACCAUAGAACUGCAUCCAAAACUAUUUAGCUAGAGUGUGGGAGAGGAAGAUGGAAUUAGUUGUGUAGGGGUAAAAUCCGUAGAGAUAACUAGGAAUACCAAAAGCGAAGGCAAUCUUCUGGAACACUACUGACGCUGAGGCGCGAAAGCGUGGGGAGCAAACGGGAUUAGAAACCCUUGUAGUCC
rnacentral:rRNA from 1 species